UAUCAAGUCACACGAACGUGUCAGACAUCAGUCUCUCAUUCAUUCUUGUUCCCGUGCUUUAUGAACAGUAAGCGUUACUUUUUCUAGCUAAAUGUAUCUGAAGGUUAAUAAUAAUAUAAAUAUAAAUGAACAAUAUCUAUUUCAAUUCUGUAUUGUUCCAUCCUGUUGGUUGUGGACUCGAGGCUUACAUCAUCAAUUAAAAAAUAGCCUUGUACUGCAUAUUAAACGUGCACCGUGUCGCGUCGACGGGUCCCGGCGGUGAGAAAUAACGAUGAAGACAUGUUGGAUGAACGUUUAAAGAAGAGAAGGGUCACGUCAGCGACGGGAACCAAAGUGGCAAUAAAUGUUUAGAAAUCGCCUGCAAAUAUAUUUUAACUUUAUAAACAUGGAGGGUCAGGGUUGGCCGACGGACAGGAAUAUUAAAACUCCUGCACACAGGAGCUUGUUACUGGAGGUCAACCUUAAAGGUCGCUUGCCAACCGACCGAACUUAUAACGAGGUAGUGAGCUCACCGUUAGAGACUACACCCUCACCAUCAGAGGAAAGACAGCCACAGAGUGCGUACAGAAACACGACGCUGAGGAAGAGCGCGGGGUAUCGAUAUAUAAUCCCCAAGAACAUGCUGGCGGAGGAUGGUCUCAUUCUGAAGUACAUCGCACGUUAUGAUGUUUUGGCAGGAUGCAGGUUAUCAGAACCAGAAGAGUGUCGUAGUCUACAGCGAGACAGAAUUACACGAUCACUUACACACAGACUAUAGUCUGAAGACUGGUCUAGGAAUAAACGAACCAACGGACGAGCGAACAUGAAUCUCAUUAUCAUAUCUUAUUAUUCACAUAGACAUAAAAUCGUAUAUAACACAAGCGCUUUAGUUAAUCUUUUAAAGGUUAGGGCGUGACGCAGCAAAUGAUUUCCCGAGCAUUACCUUGACCGAUCCUGUUAAGACUAAAAGGAUAAUUUUUGUGACCUACAACACGUCCCAAGAACAUUCAACACAAGGAAUUAAAUAAAUAUCUCAUAUUUUAAUCUGUAUAAAUGACUAGCGUCGUAUGUCCUCACCUCGACGUCUCUCUGGAAGUCGAACAGGUCUAUCUUCUGCCAGUUGGAGCCGUCCAGCGCCAGGAUGUUCCAUAGCUUCGACACCUGCAACAGUUUUAUCGUUAUCAAUUACACUAGUAAGAAACCGGCUCGUGAUAACAGGGAUGAGCCAGAUGAGACGCAAGCAUCUCUGCUAUGAGAAGUUUUUAUCUAAAGUAUCAGUACUGGCAUCAUAUACCUAUACUCAUGUGAUACUUCCAUGGUUCAGCUCCUUACUGACGUUUGGUGUUGACUAAAUUAAUCAUGGGAUUUUUCUCUUGUACAUUUCUUAACAAACUUAUUUACCUUCCCUAAGUCCUACCUAGUUAUCAAUAGCAAGGCUUCUGAUAUUUCUGGUUUCCUGUCUAAAGAACACCACAUACAAUCGCUAUACCUGAGCACAUCUGCACAGGGAGACGACGUCCAGAUACGACAGUAUUCUCAACAAUAAUUCCUUUGGUAGCUUCUUAUUGAUGUGGUUCUCGUCUUCUCCGGAAAAACGAGAAAUCUGAAAACGAAAAUGUAUCAUAUCAAAAAUACAUCAGAAAAUCCUCAACAACAUGUAAUGAGACAGAGUCGUGGCAUCGAUCUAUGUAAAUCUCUUAUUAUAAUAAUUUUCUUGUCUCGUUGGCUCAGUCAAAACUGAGUUUCCAAAUAAAUAAAGAAUAGUCCGCCCAUAACGUUCCAAUGAGUUAUACAAAUAUUCUACUAGACAGCUUACAACGUAUCUUGGUUACACGUAUAAAGGAUUUUCUUGUCUUUAGCAUUAAUAACUUAACUAUUUGACAUAUUGUUUCGCUUACUCUGUCUCGAUGCUGUAAAGCGAGGACGAUAUUCAUAACGAAAACUGCAUCAGGCAAGAGUUAGGAGAUUCAAAGCCACAAAAAAUUAUGUCACUUAUUCAAGCAAUCAAGAUUUUAGACAGAAACAGGUGGGCGGGUAGCACAAUAUUAUGUAAUAAAAAGCAUAAUAUAAAAAUAUCUAAUAUGUAUUUUGUUAGAAAUAUACGUGAAUAAUUUUUUUUUUUUCAAUAAAUUGUAGUCCAGUUAUGAGAGAAGAUGAGAGCAGAUUUAAAGAUCUAAUGGUUAGAAAGAAAAGUUGGAGUAUGAGCGUGUAGAAUGUAAUGUUGAAGUACUACUUGUCGCAUCAAAGGAUGGGUGUUUUGUCUAAAAGAUAGAACAAAUAAAAUGGCACAUCGAGACUAACUCUGGAUCAUCAAUACAAUUAUAAGAAUAGCCUAUAACACUAAAAUAUAGGUACAUACUUCAAUAUAGACCAGAUUACACACAUUUACAGAUAUAAGAAAAUCACCUCAGUGUUGCCAGAAACUAAAUACAAUUUAUUUUAAAUGUUAACACCAAAAAUGAGAAAAAAUGAGAUCAACAGGUAAGUUACUUAAAAAAAUAAAAAUAUUUCAAUAUCUUAUUUACUUGAUAGACUCACAUUUAUAACAUUCGUUAUAGCAUUACCUUUUUUCAAAACAUUACAAAUAUAUAAUAACUUUUAAGAUUAGUUUUUGCGGUUCAAUAUUUUAUUUAUUUUACUAAUCGCUACCUGUGACUGCAGCUGGGUUGGUUUCAAAUAAUUAUCUUCAAUUGCUAGUUCUCUUCACCAGUAAUGGUUGCCACUAAUUGCUUUGAACCUUAAUGAUAUAUUCACUAUUGCAUAAUCAAAUAGGAGAAAGAAUAAAAAUGCAUACACGUCCAAUAAUUCUUAAAUAUUAAGACAUUUAACCUGAAGUUUUGUAAAGUUUUUUUUAAGCUAAAGUUGGCAAACGAGCAGACAGCCUACCUGAUAAAGAUAGUUACUGUCACUCACGGACAGCUGUAUUUUAACACAAUUUACCAAUUUUUUUCAUUUAUUUUGGAACAUUCCACUAAUGUAGUACAUACACUUUGAUGAGCCAUAUGUAUGUUUGCGGCACUUCAACACAAAAACUACUUAAUAGAUAUUAAUGAAAGUUUAAAGCAACGCAGUUAAGACUCCAGAAUAAGACAUAUGCAACAAUUUAUUCUUGAAUUCAAGAAAAUUCAGACGGGAUUAUGAUAUAACUUUUUUAUUCUGUAUGAAGACAUGUGACACAGACUGUAGAUGUCGCUGUCGGUUGGUUAACAUAUGUGUGGUUUAAAUAUAUAUAUAUAUAUAUAUUACAUUUCUUUAAACCCAAUUCUGUAGGUCAGGAAGACAUAGUAGCAGUCAAAACCCAGUACUUUAUAUAUGUGAUAAAAGAACAUUGUUGUAUUGAAUCAUUAACUAAUUAUAGUCAAUGACUAAUAUCUGAGAUAAUAUUCAGACUCUGCCACUUUAAAUCUACACAGUGUGUGGUAAUUUUAGAACUUCCCACAGAUUAUGUAAGGUAACAAACAUUGUUAUACUUUUAUAAAGAGUUUGUUACAUCAUGAAAAAAUAAAAAUAAUUGAGAAAAAUAUUAAAUUUUCUAGAAAAGACUUUCAAACAUAAGAUAGAUUAUUGAAUACCUGCAUCUGGAGCUGAACUCUCUUCAUGAUGUCCCACAUUAUCAACAAUAAACAUGUAGACACAUAACUUUUACCUUAAAUUGAUUACAAUUGUAAGAAAUCUAAAUACAAAUUAUAUUUUUAGGAUAUUUGUGUUCUAUAAACAUGUGGAAAUAUUCUUAUCAUCUUUAACUAAUUAUUUACCUAUUAUAACUGUGUGGUUUGAGAACUCAAUUUAUAAAAACCAUAAAUUUGUACAAUCACCACUCAUUACUUUAAAUCACUGCUUUUAAUUAUUGUAAAAUUGAUGUGGUAAUUUUUUAAAAAGCUAAACAUAUUAUGAUUUUUACACAAUGAAGACAAUAAUUUUUUUUAAAUAGUUUUCUUAUAAGAAAAAUUAAUUUCCGUGGGGCGAAGGUCAGUAAUUCGGCGAUUAGUCUUCAUAACGGUAAUCAUUAUAAAGUUGAGUGAACCCGCUGAGGGCAUUACACUCGUAUCAUACUAAAAACUCACUUAUUACAACAAAUUAAAAAUAUAAUUAAAGGAAUAAAAAUACGCAUCAAACCAACACACGGAAACGUUUAUAAAAAAAAAACAAAUGUUAAAAAUAGAACGAAUUCUGUUUAUAAUGUUCUAGUCGUCUAUUUUAGUGCUGUAUCUUUACAAUCUAUGCUAAUCGAUAGAAUUGUUUAUAACGCGAGUACAUCGAGAACAAAGAAACGACUGUGGCAGCCUUGUCAGCUGUUUUGGAUCAAAUGAAAACACAAACAAUGUCGCCGCGGAUCGAUUAGACUCACCUCGAAUUUAUUCCUUCCGGAAUAGGUCAUGCUGGGGAACGGCGUCACCUUAGCCACAAUGAUAAAUUUAUUGCACACAGAACAUUAAUUAAUAAACACUGUUCGUCUUCUGCGUU